AUGCCAACACCCACCACCAGCAUCCACCACUCACCACCAUCUCCAGCCACCGCCGCAUCUUGCGCGCCCGACCAGACAAGGGCGGCACGGGCGUCUGGUCAUCCGCGUGAACACCCCCGCGCUGCUGCUCUUUCGCUCUUCCUCCACUGCUGCUGCUUCUCCUCCAUCUUCCUCCUUGCCUGCUGCUGCUUCUUCCCCUGCCUCGCUACUUCUCCCACGCCCCUGCCGCUGCUCAUCUCUCUGUUUCUCCUACUCUGCUUCUUAUCGUACCCUUGCCGCUGCUCUUCCCCUCAACUUUCUGCUGCUACUUCUUCUUCUUCUCUGAACCUCUCUCCUUCCCCUGGCUACUUCUCGUCCUUCUCUGAACCUGCUGCUGCUCCCAACCCCCUACGCUAUCUCUCUCUACUUCCCCUGCUACCCUUCUUCUCUGAACCUACCUACUGCUGCUCUCUCUCUCUGAUCUUAAAUUUCUGUAAUUUUGAGAAGUUUAUUGUUCUGUACUUUGUAAUAUUUAGCAUUGAGAUGUUUUAA
rnacentral:rRNA from 1 species